rnacentral:rRNA from 1 species
CAAUAGCGUAUAUUAAAGUUGUUGCAGUUAAAAAGCUCGUAGUUGGAUUUCUAACGGAUGCGUCUGGUCUGCCCCGCGAGGGGUUUGCACUGAGUUCGUCGUCUGUUAUCCUUGGAGAGAGCGGCUCUGGCAUUCAGUUGUCGGGGUCGUGGUCUCCAUCAUUUACUUUGAAAAAUUAGAGUGUUCAAAGCAGGCCUAUGCUCUGAAUAGGUUAGCAUGGAAUAAUAGAAUAGGACUUCGGUACUAUUUUGUUGGUUUCUAGGACCGAAGUAAUGAUUAAUAGGGACAGUUGGGGGCAUUCAUAUUCCAUUGUCAGAGGUGAAAUUCUUGGAUUAACGGAAGAUGAACUACUGCGAAAGCAUCUGCCAAGGAUGUUUUCAUUGAUCAAGAACGAAAGUUAGGGGAUCGAAGACGAUCAGAUACCGU